AGGGAUUGGAAGAGCAUGUGAUGUUACUAGGAAGCGCUUGUGAUGUCACUAGUGGCUUGUGUCAUCUCUAGUUGCCAGGAGGUAGCGAGUAUCAGGUCACUGUCUUGAUGGGAAGAGGCAUGGUGGGAAGAAGGCUGUCCUUUAGUGGCAAAAGCCAUAUUUUUUAGUGGCUGGUACUCCACCAUGAUGAGUUCUGUGACUGGUUGGUAAAUGCCCUCAUGUGUUCCUGCAAGAAAUUUUGAAAACAGCAGAACAGACACAGGCCUACCAUGGCCAGAAGACACACACAGUGAUAGGGUUAUGUGACAUACUACCCAAAUGGAUAACUGAAAAGAGGAACAGAUCAGCCAAGC